UACAGAGGGGGCAAGCGUUGUUCGGAAUUACUGGGCGUAAAGGGCGCGUAGGCGGCCCGCUAAGUCGAACGUGAAAUCCCCGAGCUCAACUCGGGAACUGCGUCCGAUACUGGCGGGCUUGAAUCCGGGAGAGGGAUGCGGAAUUCCAGGUGUAGCGGUGAAAUGCGUAGAUAUCUGGAGGAACACCGGUGGCGAAGGCGGCAUUCUGGACUGUAACUGACACUGAGGAACGAAAGCCAGGGGAGCAAACGGG
rnacentral:rRNA from 1 species